GACGAACCGUCCAAACGUUAUUCGGAAUCACUGGGCUUACAGAGUUCGUAGGCGGUCUGGAAAGUUGGGUGUGAAAUCCCUCGGCCUAACCGAGGAACUGCGCUUGAAACUGCCAGACUCGAGGGAGAUAGAGGAAAGCGGAACUGAUGGUGGAGCGGUGAAAUGCGUUGAUAUCAUCAGGAACACCGGUGGCGAAGGCGGCUUUCUGGGUCUUACCUGACGCUGAGGAACGAAAGCCAGGGGAGCGAACGGG
rnacentral:rRNA from 1 species